rnacentral:lncRNA from 1 species
AGUCAAAGCCAAUGAACAAGUAGGCAGUGACAGCUCUUCCUCCUGCUUCUCACUACUGUUGUUGCUUGCUUGCUUUCUUGCUCAUUCCUGCAAAGUCAAGAGUGAGGAACAGGUGAUCAAGGAGGUUGCACCAGUGAAGAGAGUAGCAGACAUAGGUGGCUCUUGUCAUGCAUCCCCUGCCAAGAUGGGAGCCUUCAGCAGGUACCCAACCAUGCCAACUGUUGAUGCCAGCCUUGAUCAUAGUCCUCUGGACCACUUUUUGCAAUAGGCUUGUUUUUUUGGGGGGGGGGUUGGGCAACUUUGCCAUGACCCACUAGUGUCUACUUCUGUGUGUCUUUGUGCCAAUGGCAAAUGGCAGCUGUAGGGGCUUCAGAGCUUGACCAGGGCCAUGGAAGCAGUAAAAGUAAAAGUUUCUUUCAUCCACCCACCCUGUAGUCAUGAUGUCAAGCAUACAAAAUGCAACCCAUACAAUUAGUUUCCUGACAUGCCUAUUUGCCCCUCUGUCUGAGUAGGUGUUAAGUGUGAUUAGCCACAGUCAUCUCUUUAUUUCCUAGUCUCUUCCCCUUUUUGUGUGAAUUUCCCCACUGUCUAGUUUAGAUUGUAAGAUUCUGCAAGAGCACCUCUUUUUUGCCUAGGAAACUCUGUAACAUGACAUGCAUGAUUAUUAUCCUUCAUUAUUAUUGUUGCUAUCAAUAAUAGUAGUAAUAGUGAGCAAUGCACAAUUAUUUACCAUUUCUUGCAUCUACUAUCCAUAACUUCCUUGCCCGCCUGCAAGGUUGCACUAUUGUGGAGAUUUCUGCAGUAUAUAUUGGGGGGGGGGGGAUGCAAUACACCCUCACAGAUAGCCCAUACAUUGCAAUUCUAGAAUUGCUGUAUUGAAUGUGAUUAUACAAGUAUUAUAGGUAGCUACUGGCUACGUGCCAUAACUGGAGCUGUGCAAUUACAAACCCACACCACCCUGCACCAUUUUAUGAAUUUGCUGAUUUUAGUUUCAGAUUUUUUUGGGGGGGGAAUUGUGUUGCCUCUGGGCUCCCAUGCCAUAUGGCCAGCUGUCUUUGCCUGAGAGGUUUGGUAACAUCAAAGCUAUUCCCUUGCUGCAAAAUUAUCACUCUCAGUCACCAAGGCUAGAUUCCCUGUCCCUUCCUCACCCACAUCAAGAUAUACUGUUGUCGAUGAAAAGUCAUUUGUGAGAGUAAAGAAGCCUGAGUGUUCCCAAAAAAGGAGAGCCAGUCUAAGUAAUAUAUCAGGAAGAAUUUAACUAUGACAACACUUCAGAGCUAUCUCUAAUCACUGAACGUUCAGGGAUGGGUGACUUGCCACUUUUAGAAUGUUGUAGACAACAAGACAGGAGGUGCCUGUAAAGAACUGAGAAUGAAUCUAUGACAGAUGUGAGCAAAGAUAAUUAUAAUGCAAAAACAUGUGUUAGGGCAAUGGCUGUACUUAGGCUAUUACUACUGGUAUUGCUAUUAAGAUUUCCUUUGGCAUGAACUGUGGAAGCUUACUUUCAAUGUAAAUAGAUCGUGGACUGUCACCUAGGACUACAGCUUAGAAAUUUGUAAUAGUGUACUCUGGUUAGUACAGUAUUGGCCAUUUUUAACUCACUCAUUCAGUCCGAAGCCCAGAAAUGGCACUCAAAAUUAACUACAAUCACAUAAACCAAAUGAAUAAUAAUGAAAUUUGCCUGUUUUCUGUUGCCAAAACAAUGGAGCUAUUUGUGGUCACCCUCCUCAACAGAAAUGUGAGGGCAGAACUGGGAUGCUGUCCUUCCUUUCCCAUGGCAUGUCAUUACCCAAACCUCUGCUAGUUAGCAAGUGCUGGGUGGGUGCCCAGUGUUCUGUUUUGCUUUUUCAUUGUUAGCACUACUUAUAAUUUGUGCAUAACACCCUCAAGCCUUCAUGCCUGUUUUCUAUUCUAAGCCAGCAGCAGACUGUUCAUUUUCCCUGUCCUAUUCCUGCGUUAGCGUUGUAAACAUGCAGAUCUAGUCUAGUGUUUGCACAAGAGAGCAUUAGGCUUUUCUUCUUGUCUCUGGUUCAUAAAACAUCAUAGUCUUCCUGGCCCUAUGCUAAUCCUUCUUUUGGGGUCCCUUUCACCCUCUGUUCAUCUUCACUAGCUCUCGUCCUCUCUUCAGGCUGAGGCUGAGCCAGCCACAAUCCUAGGAUAUAACAAAACGAUCAUAUUGAGAAGUAAUGCAUAAAAGGCUCCCUUUGCCCAUACCAAAUGAUCUAGCUCCAGCUGCUAUUUUUUUUCCAGGACACAUGUGAAUAUAUCCCCAUUGAGCUUUAAUAUAUGAAAGCUGAGACCCAGGGUUUUUAAAAAAUGACGUUGUACUCAAGCCAACACAGUGCAUAUCAGUAUCAACUUUUCAGUGUGGUAACAGCUUUCCAAAUCAGGCUGAGGCACAGGUCAGUUUGACUUGGAAUUUUAGUAGCACCCUCUGAAAGGACCUUGAUUUGGAGGAACGAGACAUUGUAAAGUAUACCAGUCAAGAGAAUGAGCUCCCUCUUUGUUCCCCUGCUCCAGAAGAUGGAUGCUUUAAUGGACUCUCUCACAUAAAAACAAGCUCUCCCCAAUUCAUGGAACACCACCAGCACACCAGAGUGGGCUCUAGGGUAGCCUUCUCCUUGACAUGUUAGCCUUAUACAUCCAAGUAGUACAGAUGAGGGAGAAAUUGGAUUCAGUUUGCACUUAAAGCCUAAUUUCUCAAAAUCACACUUUCCAAAACAAUAUGAGAACUGAAACAUAGCCAUCCUUUUUAAAAUGUGCACUUACAGUGGUACCUCGGGUUACAUACGCUUCAGGUUACAUACGCUUCAGGUUACACACUCUGCUAACCCAGAAAUAGUGCUUCAGGUUAAGAACUUUGCUUCAGGAUAAGAACAGAAAUCGGGCUCCGGCGGUGUGGCGGCAGCAGGAGGCCCCAUUAGCUAAAGUGGUGCUUCAGGUUAAGAAGAGUUUCAAGUUAAGUACGGACCUCCAGAACGAAUUAAGUACUUAACCUGAGGUACCACUGUAUCUGAAUUUGUAAUGCAGUUCUGCAACCAAUCAAUGUUUACAAAAAUGCGUAUAUAAUGCAAUAUAUUAGGCAAAAUUGCUUGCAAAAAAGUGUGCUUUAGUUGUUGUUUUUUAAAAAAACCCAUACAAAAUGUGUCCAUUUUGCAAAAAACACACACACACACAAAAUGCUGAUGAAUUUUCAUGAGGAUUUUUUUAAAAAAGAAAACUUUCAAAUUGCUGCAGAAAUGUAGAGAACUGAAUUUAGCAUUCAAAAAAUGAGAAACUGAGAGACCCAAAUUGACAGAUUCUUCCAUCUCUACCAAUGAGAUUUGUUGUGAUUGAUUGAUUGAUUGAUUGAUAAAUAAUGUUUGCCUGAUGACAUGUAUAGAUGCUUGAUGGCUAAGGACUUGUGCAAACAUACAACAGACAUGCGCCUUCGACAAAAAGGUGAUUUAUCAUGAGCUCCGGCCCCUAAUUCUCCUGUGUGCUGUCCAUUACCCCAUCAGGUUCUGGCCCUUUGCUUGUUUGGGCUCUUUCCUCUAGGUUCCAUUCAGGUACCAGAAUGUUUACUUUCAUGAAUUUGCAACCACAAUGAAUAUUGAUUAUUUGGAAAUUUGAAUCAUCCUGGGUGCAAAUGCGCUUAUGCUCUUUGUUCUAGGAAGAAUUUUACCAUAUAUUGAUGAUAUGAAGCAUGCAUUGCCACAUCUGAUUGGGUGUCAGCAUCAAGUGCUCCAACACCCCUCCCCCCAUGUUAAAUGUGUGGUACUUACUGUAACAACUUUACAGAGAGUACUGGCAUCCUUUCUCUCUCUCUAAAAAAAGCACUGGUCAACAUGAUCCGAAAUCACACCAUACAUUUAAAUCACUAUGAUACCACUUUAAACAGUCAUGGCUUCCCCUAAAGAAUUCUGGGAGCUGUAGUUUGUUAAGAGUGUUGAGAGUUGUUAGGAGACCCCACAUUCCCCUCAGAGAGUUACAAUUCCAAGGAUGGUUUAACAGCCAAUCCCUCUUCCCAGAAAACUCAGAGUGGGGAACAGGUGUCCCCUAACAAUUCUCAGCACCCUUAACAGACUAUACUUUCCAUGAUGCCUUGUGGAAAGCCAUGAUUGUUUAAAAUGGUAUCAUUGUUGUUAAGUUGUGGGCAAACAUAUCAGACGACACAGCAAUUCUUCAAACAGCUCUUCUUUAUUCAGAUGCCAGAACAGAACUAAGCUGAGGGGCUCAGUUAGCCUGCUUAUAUAGAGCUCCAGAACAAUUGUAACUGUUGCCAUUUUCUAAAACUAUCCAAUCACUGAACGUCACUUUUCGAUCCUUCAUUUGCAUAACUAUCUACAGUAUCCCCCUGCUGGCCCAGGGUGAGAACAUCAGUACGUAACAAUUGUGCUGUAAAUUUAUGGUGUGAAUUGGGUCAUAAUCACAUGGGCAAAAAUUCUCAACUUCACCUUACUGUGUUUCAGUCAUUUGUGCAGAUGCAAGUUGUAUGCGCAUAAAAUGAUGGCAGCUCCCUGCCCCGUGUCCACUUUGAUCCCUUCGUGUUUGGGGCAAAUCAUUUUCUUUUUGUUUGUAUUUUGGACAUUUGCAUAACUCUGCAAAUUCAUUUGCUGAGCCAAUGUGAAUGAUGCCAGAUCUUGAGGAGUAAAACAAUAACAAUAACCAUGUCCACAUAGUCUAUAUGGACAGCCCAUUUUCCCUCACACUAAUGUUUACAGGCAUCAAUAUGUACUUUUGGGGGGGAAAGAUAUUUGAAAGAAGCAAAUAAAUAUUAUUUGCACUGUAUAUAGCACAAACACUUCCCAGAACAAAAACACAGUAACAAGUUAUACAGACAUAGCCCUGGCCACUGUAAAUCUGUCUCUUCUUCUGGUGUUAACUUGGUUCCAAUUGGGGGAUGGGUAGUGCAAUUUAGACAAGGCAGAUGAUCAGUAACAAGAGAGAGCAUGUUAUGUUCCAGACAGUUAUUGGCCCAUGUUAAUCUAUACUAAACCCUUUUUAAACAAGUUGCAAUCAGAAUGAUAUUGCUCUGUUUUAAUUCAUUUUGUAGAUCUCUAAAUACAAUGUCAAGCCUCACAUUUUCUUCAAACUAAUAAUAAAUAAGGGAAAACUAUAUAGGAUGAAAUCCUUGUUGCCGUGACAUUCAUAGGUGUAUUGCCACUGAUUUUACGGAAAUCAAUAUACUAGCACUAACUGAAGGAUCUGUGUGUCUAGCUGUGUUUAAAUCAAUACCAAAUAUUAAGCUGAUUAUUAGAACCAUUUUCCCCCCUUCGUUUUGAGAAAUAUUCAAAUGGGUUAUAAUUUUAGCCCUUUGCUAGCAAUUCCUGCAGUUUAAUGCUAAAUCCUUGUAGCUUUAGCCUUUACUCUACCCAGUCAGGCAGCAAAAUAGGGAAAUCCCAGCAAUUUAAACUUCUGAUGAUCCCUGAGAUUUGAGGAUUUUGUUCCCCACUCAAGCUAGAUGUUGAUAAUGCUUUGGAUUCAGCUCUGCCAAUCACAUCCUUUAUAUCUAGGGAGUACGACAAAAACAGCACAUUAAAAUUUACUUUCCUAGGAGGAAACGAGAGUGAAAGAAAGAAGGAUCAAUUUGCCAGUUUUGCCUUGCUGAGUAUAUAGGUCAAGUAGUUAAAACUUUCCUAUUUACAGAGCUGUUUGUUAUGCUGGGUAAUCAAAUAAGACCCUGCUAUGUACUAAGUCCAAGGGACGCACGGGGCACAUAGCCUGACCUAUACUUGAAGAAUGGUAUGUACUUUGGGAUGCUACUGAAAAGCUAGAAGGUUUCAAAGAAUUGAAAAAAGAGUUUUCAGAUUCUUAGGAAAUGAACAUGGAAGCAGGGCAUGCAGCUGCCGUUCAUGGCAUCUGGCACCUCUAGGGUUACUGAGACACACACCACUCCUUUGACCUUUGGCAAAACAAGUAUUACUGCUACUGACAAAGAGGAAUCUAUGCUUGUGCUGUUAUUGGUUAUUUGCAUUUGAGCUUUCUCAUAUCAAGGCCAAACAUAUUGACAGCAUAUUCCCAGCUCAUUGGAGCCGAAAGGGCAGUUGUUGCUUGCUUUUACAGAAUCAUAAGCUAAAUUAGUUAUCAUUUUCUCUUUGGGCUGUUGGCAUGGAUAUUUUAAAACUUCCUGUGGGGAAGAAACUGUUAGAUCAGAUGCUUGCAUGUGAGUAGCCCAGCCAAUCAGCCUGCAUAAAUUGCAGGUGGAUAUGGGGAUGAUGAGAGGCUACAAGCUUUCAGCCUCUUCCUGACAGCUUAUAAAGGGAAGGUGGUAGAGUACAGAGAAAGAAAAUGGAGUUGGGGGAGAAAUUUAGCCAGGCUUCAGAUUUGCACUAAAAUGCAGUUGAAUUUUCAUGAGGAUUUCUUUUUAAAAUUGAUGUACAAAUUUUAAGAAUUGACCUUAAGACUGGAAAAAGUAAGAAACCAAAACUGACAGAUUCCUUCAUCCAUUGCUGGCAGUGGUAGAUGUGUUGUCUACCUCUUUUCCCCUGAUGAACAUGGCUUCUCUGGUCCAAUGGGAAGGAGGUAAGAGAAUGCAUGCAGCCUGUGCUUCUGAAGGAAGCUCUGAGAGUUGUGGACUCUGGAAACUGUGACCACUUCCGUUAGAAAUCUUGCAGCCCUUUCCUUAAAAAAUAGAAUAAAAAUCUAACACACAUAUCAGUAGAAACAACACUUACUAAUUUGAGGCACAAAUCUACUUGAGAAGACGGUUUCAUUACCAUACUAGUAGGCCUUCUGGUAUUAUUCGUUUAUUUUUAAACUGUACGGUAUACCACCCUUUACCAUUGUUUCCAGGGCAGCGUGCAACAACAAAUAAAAUAGCAUGAAAGAAUUGUAGCUGCAGGAGGUAGGCUUCAAAAGGCUGCAACCGUAUGUAAAUUUACCUAGGAGUAAGCCCCACUGAACUCACUGGAUUUGCUUGUGAGUAGGCAUGCAUGGUAAAAUACUUUAAAAUAUCUAGAAUUUAGUCUCCAUCUGGUACCUAAAUGAUAAUGAUGUGGGUUGGUUGCUGAGGUGAGCAUCCUUAGGGAGGAAGUAAUACAGGUGGGAUAUUACAGCCCCUAAAGCCCUUUCACUGGUCACUUCACCUCCAGUAAUGGGAGCACCUGAAGGAGGGUUUCAACGCCGUUGAAGCAACGGACAACUGCAGACAUGCAUCUAAAGGCACUGUUUUCCCCACAACUUUGGGAGUGAAUUACUCACAUCAUGCAAUGUUCCAUGCUAAGCAACAAGUAUAAGAUAACAAACCACCCCAAAGUGGCCCCACAAAUCCUUUGACAACCAUUGCAGGUUUGGAAAAUCAUACAGAAAGCUGAAAGGGAUUGUAGGCUUAUUUUUAGUCACAUCAAGUCUUUAUCUUU